rnacentral:lncRNA from 1 species
GCUCCCCGCCUCCCGCGCCCUCCCGCGCCGGCCCGCACCCUCCAGCCCCGCCGGCCUCUUCCUAAAUCCCGAGCGAAAGCCCAAGCUGAACAUGAACUCUGCCCGGAGGCGACGGGCUGCGGCGGAGGGGGAGAGAGAGGAGGACAGGCUGCGACCCCGGGCUGGGGACGCCAGGGCAGGGACAGCGAGCAUCAGGAAGGAGAGCGUCCGGGGAACUCGAGUGGCCGCGCCCUGGGUCCUGCACCGUGAGGCUGGGGGGACCAGGACCGGCGGGCGCCCACCUUGGUCCUGAGCCCAGCUGCCGACGCUGGGCCAGCACCCUCUCCACCGCCGCCCUCCAGUGAGCAGAGCUGGGCUCAGGCAGCAGCCCCUGGGCGCGGGAAGGUAGCGGGAGCUGCAUUUAGGGGAGGGGGGAGGUAGCAGGAGCUCCGCCAGUGGGAACCUUGGAGUGAAUUCGUCGGCGGGUGCCAAGUCGAAGCGCCGACCUCCUGUCUCUGGACUGGGGCCCGGACCCCUGCGUCCCCAAACUGCGUCCCCGCCUUGCUCGUCGCCCGGUGCCUUCCUUAGGCGCAGCAGACCCUCGGUAAACAGCGGUUAAUUCGAUGGAAUCGGAUCACAGGGCCCUCGGUGAAGCAGAAAGGCGGAGGAAAUCCAGGAGGCAGAAGUGAGGACCCUGGCGCCUGGCGCCGCUGCGUUGUUCGUAUAAGAAGAGGCAUCCCGGAAGGGGCUUCAAACCACUUAGGACCGACUGCUGAAACGAAUCCAAGCUUGUGGUGUCUGCAGAAUUUAACUGUCCGCCUCAACCCCAGUUUUUGUUUCUAAGAUUAUCGAAAACUGUGCGGUUUGAGUGAUGUGCUACAAAGUGUUUAAAACAGAUUGUUUCCCAAAUUAGGGGUUUCCACACAAGAAAUCGCUGCUGUCGGCAAACACAGGAACUAUCUAUGGUUAAGACAAGGUGGUGUUCGUAACCAAACUAUAAACCUACAUAUACGAGGUGGUAAGAGAACCAGACCAAUGAACAGUUUCAGGCUGGCGUGGUGUGCCCGUGAACAAAGAAUUGUAAUACUGGCAAAAAUCUAAAUUGCUUUCUUUCCCUUUAUUUUCUCAUCACUAAAAUUAGGAAAAUGAACAGAUAUGUCAAAUCUCUUCUAACACCCAUGUUCUGUAACUCUCCUCGUAUGUACCUUAUAAUAAGACAAAGGUAAAGACAUUUCCAUGUGCAGCGAGGAAAAGUAAUAAUAAAAAUUAAAACAACUAGCAA